rnacentral:rRNA from 1 species
AAACCAACCGGGAUUGCCUUAGUAACGGCGAGUGAAGCGGCAAAAGCUCAAAUUUGAAAUCUAGUACCUUCGGUGCUCGAGUUGUAAUUUGUAGAGGGAUACUUUGGGGCCGUUCCUUGUCUAUGUUCCUUGGAACAGGACGUCAUAGAGGGUGAGAAUCCCGUGUGGCGAGGAGUGCGGUUCUAUGUAAAGUGCCUUCGAAGAGUCGAGUUGUUUGGGAAUGCAGCUCUAAGUGGGUGGUAAAUUCCAUCUAAAGCUAAAUAUUGGCGAGAGACCGAUAGCGAACAAGUACAGUGAUGGAAAGAUGAAAAGAACUUUGAAAAGAGAGUGAAAAAGUACGUGAAAUUGUUGAAAGGGAAGGGCAUUUGAUCAGACAUGGUGUUUUGCGCCCUCUGCUCCUUGUGGGUGGGGGACUCUCGCAGCUCACUGGGCCAACAUCAGUUUUGGUGGUCGGACAAAUCCGUAGGAAUGUAGCUUACCUCGGUAAGUGUUAUAGCCUGCGGGAAUACGGCCAGCCGGGACUGAGG